UCAAUCAUUAGGUGGAAUGUGACUAUAUUGGAACCGCUGUGGUAUCCUGAACAAGGUUCCAGUUUUCUCCAACCCCCAUACUGACUUUGCUAGGAUUUUUUUGCUUAAAUCCUCAUCAGUCUCAUAUCGCAGAGUCUGUGAUGGAAGAUGGAAACCACAACUUGAAUACUUCAAAGAUUUGAAUGUGGUUCAUGGGUUGGAGACUUGGUCCUCGAUGUGGCGAGGCAACCAUCAGAGUGCAGUUAUAGCCCUCAACUGGGAGAACAGAGUCCUUGAGAAAGAAUGCUUUCUUAGUUACUUUCUCAUUUCUGGGACAAAGUACACAACACCUACAAGUACCAUAAAGUUCCUCUUCUGGAAAUGGCCCUGUAACACAACCUCCACCCAACAGAUGUUCACAGCCCCCAGGUGG